UUUUUGUGUUCUUCCAUGAGUUCUAAAAAUGCAUCAUGUAAUUCAUCAACAGUAAAAUCACAUUCAAGUUCAGAAUCUACCUCAUCGUUAUUGGCCAUAUUGCAUUUUGGGCCGUCUCUUGAUGAUCUUCCUCUUCCAAACUUGACUCCUCACUUUCACUCCAUUCAGCCAUGAAGUUCUUCUUUUUAAGUUUUCUUGCCAUCCACAUUAAUUCCGGGCAAUCUAUCUUAUAAUGCCCGGGCUUGUUACACUCA
rnacentral:lncRNA from 1 species